GGAGAGGUGUCCGAGUGGUUGAAGGAGUCGGUCUCGAAAACCGAUAUCCCGAGUGAUCGGGAUCGUGGGUUCGAAUCCCACCCUCUCCG
rnacentral:tRNA from 1 species